rnacentral:rRNA from 1 species
ACUCCUACGGGAGGCAGCAGUGGGGAAGUCUUGCGCAAUGGGCGAAAGCCUGACGCAGCCAUGCCGCGUGAAUGAUGAAGGUCUUAGGAUUGUAAAAUUACUUUCACCGGGGACGGAUAAUGACGGUACCCGGACGAAGAAGCCCCGGCCUAACUUCGUGCCAGCAGCCGCGGUAAUACGAAGGGGGCGUAGCGUUGCUCGGAAUUACUGGGCGUAAAGGGAGCGUAGGCGGACAUUAAGUCAGGGGUGAAAUCCCGGGGCUCAACCUCGGAAUUGCCUUUGUAUACUGGGGUGUCUUGAGUAUGAGAGAGGUGUGUGGAACUCCGAGUGUAGAGGUGAAAUUCGUAGAUAUUCGGAAGAACACCAGUGGCGAAGGCGACACACUGGCUCAUUACUGACGCUGAGGCUCGAAAGCGUGGGGAGCAAACAGGAUUAGAUACCCUGGUAGGAUAGCG